rnacentral:ncRNA from 1 species
GCUGCCUCAGAGCAAACCCGUCGAAAGACGGAGACGCAGAGCCGCGGGGCUACCACGGGAAUCUCCGUACGCCAGCCGGGCCGCCCGG